rnacentral:lncRNA from 1 species
GUAUUAUUUCUGUAUAUGAAAAAAAAAAAAAAAAAAAAGUCUACUAAUUUUGUUUGGUGCUAAGAGUAAAACCAUUUUUUACAAAAACAUUUCUCCAAGGCCAGGUUUAUCAAAAUUGUUUAAAGGUGCCUCACUCUGCUGAUAGCAUCUAUGUGGAAGCCUCACUAGUAUUGCAAGUCAGUACGAGUAAGGCUUCUAGCAAUUAGACUCUUUUGAAGGUUCUUAACAGGUACCUAUCUAAAUAUUUUUAUCUUGGCAGAGUGUGAAAACUUCCAUCAUGCAGUCUUUGAUCUGGAGUUCUAGAAAUUAAAUUACAGGCUGCCUAGAGGGAUUUUGAAGUGCUAAGCACUCUUCUUUCAGACCAAAUAAAAAGCACAAUUACAGCUCUUACAGUAGUUGUAUAUCUGAUAUUAACAUGGAUUCAUGAAGUAGCUUGGCUAGGUUUGGUCAGAAGCUAUCUCAUAUGAACUGAACAGUUAAUGAAUGGAAAAUGCCAAGACAAAGGCCAGAAGACAGGGAAUAAAACUAAUGGACAAAAGCUGCCCUAAACGGGAGCAGAAAAACAUUUCCAGGUGAAGAGCAGGAAGAGUAAAAUAGGUUAGUAAAUGUGAGAAAAUAAACUGUACUUAACGCUACUAUAUUUUUAUUAUUUUCACAGAAAAAGAAACACAUAUAAUCUUAGAGGAAAACAGAGUUGUACCACAGGAUAUAUCAGUGUCAUAACCUAAAGAAAAUGGUCACAAAACUUCCCAGAAAGAAUGUAUCUUUUGAAAGAAUAAUCAAAGCAAAGCAAGAUUCUGGGGAACAUCUACUUACUAGAAGCCCCACAUCACUACGGGAGACAUCCUGCAUAUUAAUGGGAGCAUGUGAAUGUUAGUGGCACGAUUGUUGAAUUUUAUGCAUUUAAAUUGCAAUUAAUUCUGUAUCAUCCAUCUCUACUCAAAAAUGC